GAUGAACGCUGGCGGCGUGCCUAAUACAUGCAAGUCGAGCGAACAGACGAGGAGCUUGCUCCUCUGACGUUAGCGGCGGACGGGUGAGUAACACGUGGAUAACCUACCUAUAAGACUGGGAUAACUUCGGGAAACCGGAGCUAAUACCGGAUAAUAUAUUGAACCGCAUGGUUCAAUAGUGAAAGACGGUUUUGCUGUCACUUCUAGAUGGAUCCGCGCCGCAUUAGCUAGUUGGUAAGGUAACGGCUUACCAAGGCAACGAUGCGUAGCCGACCUGAGAGGGUGAUCGGCCACACUGGAACUGAGACACGGUCCAGACGCCUACGGGAGGCAGCAGUAGGGAAUCGUCCGCAAUGGGCGAAAGCCUGACGGAGCAACGCCGCGUGAGUGAUGAAGGUCUUCGGAUCGUAAAACUCUGUUAUUAGGGAAGAACAAAUGUGUAAGUAACUAUGCACGUCUUGACGGUACCUAAUCAGAAAGCCACGGCUAACUACGUG
rnacentral:rRNA from 1 species